GUAUUAGUUAUUUUCUUGAAACCCAAAGGAUUUGGCGGUAUUUUAGUCUUUUCAGAGGAACCUGCUCUUUAACCGAUAGUCCACGUUUUCAUUUACUUAUUUUAUAUUAAUGGUUUGUAUACCUCCGUCAUAAGGAUGUCUUAUAAGGGUUAAUUUCCUAUUUUACUUUAUGUAAAAAUGUCAGGUCGAGGUGCAGCUUAUGAAUAAGGGAGUAGUGGGUUACAUUGAUUUUAUUUUUGGAUUUCCUUAAUUAGUUAAGGUCUGAAAUUGGAUUUGAGAGUAAAUUGGUAUAUUAUGUCUUUUGACUUUAGCUCUAAAAUAUGCAC
rnacentral:rRNA from 1 species